CGAUGCUUCGCCCAGCCCGCCUCUGCACUUGCCUACUGCCUCUGCUGCUCCUCUGGCCAGCGGGAGCGCAGCCGCCGUCUCCCCAGCCGCCGCCGCUGCCGCAGGACGCCGGCGAGGCAGCCCGCCACGGCAGGUUUUUGUGGGACUGGAUUGUUGGAAGGCCACCUUGCCUAGCAAAAUGCCCAAUCCAUGUGUGUGAAAUUGAUCCUGCUGUCGUGCAUGGUUACUGCUGUGGCUGUGCCAGGUUGUUUGAUCGAGUUCCAUUCUCAUGUC